rnacentral:rRNA from 1 species
UGUUUCGGCUAGGGGGCCAUCCCGGCUUACCAACCCGAUGCAAACUGCGAAUACCGGAGAAUGUUAUCACGGGAGACACACGGCGGGUGCUAACGUCCGUCGUGAAGAGGGAAACAACCCAGACCGCCAGCUAAGGUCCCAAAGUCAUGGUUAAGUGGGAAACGAUGUGGGAAGGCCCAGACAGCCAGGAUGUUGGCUUAGAAGCAGCCAUCAUUUAAAGAAAGCGUAAUAGCUCACUGGUCGAGUCGGCCUGCGCGGAAGAUGUAACGGGGCUAAACCAUGCACCGAAGCUGCGGCAGCGACACUGUGUGUUGUUGGGUAGGGGAGCGUUCUGUAAGCCUGUGAAGGUGUGCUGUGAGGCAUGCUGGAGGUAUCAGAAGUGCGAAUGCUGACAUAAGUAACGAUAAAGCGGGUGAAAAGCCCGCUCGCCGGAAGACCAAGGGUUCCUGUCCAACGUUAAUCGGGGCAGGGUGAGUCGACCCCUAAGGCGAGGCCGAAAGGCGUAGUCGAUGGGAAACGGGUUAAUAUUCCCGUACUUGGUGUUACUGCGAAGGGGGGACGGAGAAGGCUAUGUUGGCCGGGCGACGGUUGUCCCGGUUUAAGCGUGUAGGUGUGUGUUCCAGGUAAAUCCGGUUCACUUUAACACUGAGGCGUGAUGACGAGGCACUACGGUGCUGAAGCAACAAAUGCCCUGCUUCCAGGAAAAGCCUCUAAGCAUCAGGUAACAUCAAAUCGUACCCCAAACCGACACAGGUGGUCAGGUAGAGAAUACCAAGGCGCUUGAGAGAACUCGGGUGAAGGAACUAGGCAAAAUGGUGCCGUAACUUCGGGAGAAGGCACGCUGACACGUAGGUGAAGUGAUUUACUCACGGAGCUGAAGUCAGUCGAAGAUACCAGCUGGCUGCAACUGUUUAUUAAAAACACAGCACUGUGCAAACACGAAAGUGGACGUAUACGGUGUGACGCCUGCCCGGUGCCGGAAGGUUAAUUGAUGGGGUCAGCGCAAGCGAAGCUCCUGAUCGAAGCCCCGGUAAACGGCGGCCGUAACUAUAACGGUCCUAAGGUAGCGAAAUUCCUUGUCGGGUAAGUUCCGACCUGCACGAAUGGCGUAAUGAUGGCCAGGCUGUCUCCACCCGAGACUCAGUGAAAUUGAACUCGCUGUGAAGAUGCAGUGUACCCGCGGCAAGACGGAAAGACCCCGUGAACCUUUACUAUAGCUUGACACUGAACAUUGAGCCUUGAUGUGUAGGAUAGGUGGGAGGCUUUGAAGCGUGGACGCCAGUCUGCGUGGAGCCGACCUUGAAAUACCACCCUUUAAUGUUUGAUGUUCUAACGUGGAUCCGUGAUCCGGGUUGCGGACAGUGUCUGGUGGGUAGUUUGACUGGGGCGGUCUCCUCCUAAAGAGUAACGGAGGAGCACGAAGGUUGGCUAAUCCUGGUCGGACAUCAGGAGGUUAGUGCAAUGGCAUAAGCCAGCUUGACUGCGAGCGUGACGGCGCGAGCAGGUGCGAAAGCAGGUCAUAGUGAUCCGGUGGUUCUGAAUGGAAGGGCCAUCGCUCAACGGAUAAAAGGUACUCCGGGGAUAACAGGCUGAUACCGCCCAAGAGUUCAUAUCGACGGCGGUGUUUGGCACCUCGAUGUCGGCUCAUCACAUCCUGGGGCUGAAGUAGGUCCCAAGGGUAUGGCUGUUCGCCAUUUAAAGUGGUACGCGAGCUGGGUUUAGAACGUCGUGAGACAGUUCGGUCCCUAUCUGCCGUGGGCGCUGGAGAACUGAGGGGGGCUGCUCCUAGUACGAGAGGACCGGAGUGGACGCAUCACUGGUGUUCGGGUUGUCAUGCCAAUGGCACUGCCCGGUAGCUAAAUGCGGAAGAGAUAAGUGCUGAAAGCAUCUAAGCACGAAACUUGCCCCGAGAUGAGUUCUCCCUGAGACUACGAGUCUCCUGAAGGAACGUUGAAGACGACGACGUUGAUAGGCCGGGUGUGUAAGCGCAGCGAUGCGUUGAGCUAACCGGUACUAAUGAACCGUGAGGCUUAACCUUAC